UACGGAGGAUGCAAGCGUUAUCCGGAAUGAUUGGGCGUAAAGGGUCCGUAGGUGGAACUGAAAGUCUGCUGUUAAAGAGUCUGGCUCAACCAGAUAAAAGCGGUGGAAACUACAGAACUAGAGUAUGGUAGGGGUAGAAGGAAUUCCUGGUGUAGCGGUGAAAUGCGUAGAUAUCAGGAAGAACACCGGUGGCGAAAGCGUUCUACUAGACCAAAACUGACACUGAGGGACGAAAGCUAGGGGAGCGAAUGGG
rnacentral:rRNA from 1 species